rnacentral:rRNA from 1 species
UACGGAGGGGGCUAGCGUUGUUCGGAAUUACUGGGCGUAAAGCGCACGUAGGUGGCUUUGUAAGUUAGAGGUGAAAGCCCGGGGCUCAACUCUGGAAUUGCCUUUAAGACUGCAUCGCUAGAACGUCGGAGAGGUAAGUGGAAUUCCGAGUGUAGAGGUGAAAUUCGUAGAUAUUCGGAAGAACACCAGUGGCGAAGGCGACUUACUGGACGACUGUUGACACUGAGGUGCGAAAGCGUGGGGAGCAAACAGG